UACGUAGGGGGCAAGCGUUGUCCGGAUUCAUUGGGCGUAAAGAGCGUGUAGGCGGCCAGGUAGGUCGGUUGUGAAAACUCGAGGCUCAACCUCGAGACGUCGGUUGAAACCACUUGGCUAGAGUCCGGAAGGGGAGUGUGGAAUUCUCGGUGUAGCGGUGAAAUGCGCAGAUAUCGGGAAGAACACCCGUGGCGAAGGCGGCACUCUGGGACGGUACUGACGCUGAGACGCGAAAGCGUGGGGAGCGAACAGG
rnacentral:rRNA from 1 species